UAGGUGUACCAGAAUCUCAUGGCAAACAAAAAUAUUGGAAAAGUGUGUUUUUCAUAUGGCAAUUGUCUAUGGUUUAAUUGUCACCUGUCAAAGAAAAUUAUGACAUCUGUCAGCCGCUGCAAAAAUUUUGUAAUCUCUUCUUGACUAUUUGUUAUUUUUGUGAAAAAGUCGAAAAAGCUCAAGCAAGUCAUAUUGUUUUCAAUGUGAAUUGUAAAAUAAGGCAUAAUUCAAAGUCAAUCUUUGAUUAUAAGCGCGUCGUCGAGUUGACAGUAUAUCUCACAAAUUGGUGCAGAGGAAUGGUCAAAAUGUUAUGACCAUGUAAAGAAAAUUGAAAAAGAUUUCAUCUCUUUAUCUUGAUCAUCUAUUGAAGAACAAGAAAUUGCAAGUGGAGUUCUUAGAAUCGUUUUCUAGUUCUGAAUGAAGUGAUAAGUUAAAAGUAUGAUGCAUAAUAAAAUUAGUUACUUAAAGUAAUAA